AAUUUCCCCCGUCUGAUGUGGAGAAGUGAUGUGAAGUUUGAUCUCCCAUCUCUCAGGUAGCCUGCUACAGUAUCUACAGCCACUGCAAAAGCCAAAGACAAAGGAAAAAUCCUGUUAGGGAGGCUGGGAUUAGUUUCUGAGACUUUAUCAUGGAGGGCAGUGCAACAUGACCAUAGGGGAAACUAUGGAAAUGACCCUUUCAGAAUUUUUCUUGAGCUAUUUCCUUGAAGCCCCCAAAGGAUAAAGCAAUGGCUGUCAAUCCUAAAAUCUAAUGAAACCAUGAAGCACAAGUACUGAAAUGUAACAGAACAAGGAAGAUUACUAUAUUGACCAUUUCAGCCACAAACUGUCUGUCGAUAAUGACAACAGAUGGCAGGUGAACUAGUCUGGAUAAAAUAGGAGUUGACCUAAACCUUCACCCAAAACUUAAAUCAAAAUUUUAUGAAGUUCAAAUUUGUCUCUUUCUUUAGUAGUUUUCCAGUUUUAGGCAGAUCUAUUAUUAGAAGUGCCAAAAUAUCACAAGGAAGGUUGUUCUCACUGUUUUUCAUUCCCAAAUAGAAAUGAGAAUUAACAGAAAUCUUAUUUGUGAGCAUUUCAACUCGAUAUUACAGGUUCCAGAAGUUCAAAUUGUGGAAAUAAAGCUCAUAUCAUUAUCCAAACAUUUACUUGUGUUUUGCAUUUACAUAGAAUGUAUGUAAAUGCAAAACAUACAUUCUAUCUUGGCUUUGAGGUUAUGUUUGUUUGUUUUCUGUUUUGGUGGUGGUCAAAAGUUUGGAUAAGUACCUGGACACUUAAGUAUGUGUCUGUUUAAAUUUUUUUUUUAGAUUUAGUUUAGAUUUUUUUUUUUUUUACAGCAACAGUCCUAACUUUUUAUGGCACAUUUUUUAGCAAUGUGAUUCUCUGUUUUGAGUCUUCACAUUGUCGUACAAUAGCACUUUUUACACUUCUGUACUCAGUUAAGGUCAGAUUCUACAACUCAGGCAAAUAGUCACUACUUAUCCGAAUAGUCUCACUGGUCUAAAUGGGAGCCUUUAUGUGAGUAAAGAUCUGCAAGAUCAAGCUUCACUUCUCCAUUUCAGGUAUAAGCCAUCCUUAUCUUUACCAUUUCUUCUCCAUCAGUGGCAGAUCCACUUACAACGUAUAACAAAGAGCUGCAAGUAAAAUCACACUAAAUAAUAUAUCCUUAUUGUCUAAAACAUGGCAUUAAUAAGGCAUUUAUUUUCUUAUCCAAUCGGGAUCAGAAUUCAUUAAAACCUGUGAGGCUAAGAGUGUAGACUCAGGGAUGUGGAUUCUUUUAAGCACUAUGAAUAGUAUGCUCAUUACCAAGUCUGUGCAAUAGUCCUUUUUUCCCUCUAGGGCACAGUGGUUUUUUGGUUGAAAAGAGUAUAUAUCAUCUUAGUUAAUGUUUAUUUCUCCAGUCUUUCACUAUUUUGAAGUCUUGCCUGUCUUGUAAACUGCCUUGUAGGCUAUUUCUAAUGGUAUUAAUCAAUCCAUUGCCAACUCAACAGUUUGGAAAGAUGUUCACUCAAAACAUAUAAACUACAGCAAAAUAUUUCAGAGUUCUGCUGUGCUUUGACAAUGGAAAGGCUUGUUGUAUUUGACCACCUACAGAUUUAAUGGAAAUGAGCUUCAUGGAAAUACAUGUGAACUAGAAUCAGAUGCUUACCAAUUAUCAAAGCAUAUUGCAGAAAUAUGGCCAUAUAACACUGGUAUUAAACACUAUGUCUGGACCAGAAUUAUUCCAAGGGUUUCCAGCAAGAUAAAAGCAGAUCUCUGCUGGUUUAACUGUGCAGGAGACUAAAAUAUAACAAUAACUUCUUCAGUUCUUUUGAUGUGGAGACCUUUCUCAUAAUGGGAGUUGUUUGAUUAGAUAAAGAUUCUUUAUUACUGUGUUCCUUUGUAUUGUCACUAGGAAAACAAUCCAAAUAUAAAGAACAUAUUUAAUCAAUUUGUUCUAACAUAAGCAAAUGUGCACAGACAUUUAAAAUACAGAAUAACACUUAACUGCAGAAUAACUGGAUAUGGAUUUUUCUUUGUUUUUACCUUUUUGAACAUCUUUGUUUUAUUUUAACAAAAGUCUUCAGCAUUUAUAUAAAUUAAACAAGAAAAAACAGGUAGGGGUUUAACAGAUUAUUAAGAACAAUAAAACUGAUAAUAUUUAAGGCUGCAAUUU